rnacentral:rRNA from 1 species
UGGGGAAUUUUGGACAAUGGGCGAAAGCCUGAUCCAGCAAUGCCGCGUGUGUGAAGAAGGCCUUCGGGUUGUAAAGCACUUUUGUCCGGAAAGAAAUCCUUGGCUCUAAUACAGUCGGGGGAUGACGGUACCGGAAGAAUAAGCACCGGCUAACUACGUGCCAGCAGCCGCGGUAAUACGUAGGGUGCAAGCGUUAAUCGGAAUUACUGGGCGUAAAGCGUGCGCAGGCGGUUUGCUAAGACCGAUGUGAAAUCCCCGGGCUCAACCUGGGAACUGCAUUGGUGACUGGCAGGCUAGAGUAUGGCAGAGGGGGGUAGAAUUCCACGUGUAGCAGUGAAAUGCGUAGAGAUGUGGAGGAAUACCGAUGGCGAAGGCAGCCCCCUGGGCCAAUACUGACGCUCAUGCACGAAAGCGUGGGGAGCAAACAGGAUUCAGAUACCCUGGUAGUCCACGCCCUAAACGAUGUCAACUAGUUGUUGGGGACUUCAUUUUCCUUAGUAACGUAGCUAACGCGUGAAGUUGACCGCCUGGGGAGUACGGUCGCAAGAUUAAAACUCAAAGGAAUUGACGGGG